rnacentral:rRNA from 1 species
UGAACGCUGGCGGCAGGCCUAACACAUGCAAGUCGAGCGUGAAAAGCCUUCGGGCUGAGUAAAGCGGCGGACGGGUGAGUAACGCGUAGGAAUCUACCUGGUAGUGGGGGACAACAUGGGGAAACCCAUGCUAAUACCGCAUACGCCCUACGGGGGAAAGCGGGGGACCUUCGGGCCUCGCGCUAUCAGAUGAGCCUGCGUUGGAUUAGCUUGUUGGUGAGGUAAAAGCUCACCAAGGCGACGAUCCAUAGCUGGUCUGAGAGGAUGAUCAGCCACACUGGGACUGAGACACGGCCCAGACUCCUACGGGAGGCAGCAGUGGGGAAUAUUGCGCAAUGGGGGAAACCCUGACGCAGCCAUGCCGCGUGUGUGAAGAAGGCCCUAGGGUUGUAAAGCACUUUCAAUUGGGAAGAAAGGUUGUACGUUAAUAGCGUGCAGCUGUGACGUUACCUUUAGAAGAAGCACCGGCUAACUCC